UGGGGGAUAUUGCACAAUGGGCGAAAGCCUGAUGCAGCGACGCCGCGUGGGGGAUGAAGGCUUUCGGGUUGUAAACCUCUUUCGCUAUCGAACAAGGCCCGCUUAGGGUGGGUUGAGGGUAGGUGGAGAAGAAGCGCCGGCUAACUACGUGCCAGCAGCCGCGGUAAUACGUAGGGCGCGAGCGUUGUCCGGAAUUAUUGGGCGUAAAGGGCUUGUAGGCGGCUUGUUGCGCCUGCUGUGAAAACGCGGGGCUUAACUUCGCGCGUGAAGUGGGUACGGGCAGGAUUGAGUGUGGUAGGGGUGACUGGAAUUCCAGGUGUAGCGGUGGAAUGCGCAGAUAUCUGGAGGAACACCGAUGGCGAAGGCAGGUCACUGGGCCAUUACUGACGCUGAGGAGCGAAAGCAUGGGUAGCGAACAGG
rnacentral:rRNA from 1 species